UAGAAUUUCAUUUGAAAUUCUGGAAUUGAGACAAUUAUAAUGUUUGGAUGUCCAAGAAUUUCAAAUGAUGAAUUUGCCCAAAUUCUAC
rnacentral:pre_miRNA from 1 species